CUUGGUCAUUUAGAGGAGUAAAAGUCGUAACAAGGUUUCCGUAGGUGAACCUGCGGAAGGAUCAUUAUUGAAUUACGGGCGAGGGUUGUCGCUGGCCUCUCGGGGCAUGUGCACGCCCGAGCCAUCCCCAACAAACGCCGUGGGCCUUCGGGCCCGCGUAUAUUUACUCUGAAUGUGUAUAGAAUGUAAACCAUUUGUUUGCCCUGAAAAAGCAAACGAAAAAUAGUACAACUUUCAACAACGGAUCUCUUGGCUCUCGCAUCGAUGAAGAACGCAGCGAAAUGCGAUAAGUAAUGUGAAUUGCAGAUUUUCAGUGAAUCAUCGAAUCUUUGAACGCACCUUGCGCCCCUUGGUAUUCCGAGGGGCAUGCCUGUUUGAGUGUCAUUAAAUCCUCAACCGCGCCGAUUGAUUUUCGGUGGGGCUUGGACUUUGGAGCGUGCUGGCGAAGGUCGGCUCCUCUUUAAAUGCAUCAGCGGAAGAAACCUUUGUCUUUCCCGCCUUCGGUGUGAUAAUUGUGUUGCGCCGUGGUGGAACUUCAACGAUCCGCUUACAAUGGUCUUCGGACGAAACCUCAUGUCAUCUUGACCUCAAAUCAGGUAGGACUACCCGCUGAACUUAAGCAUAUCAAUAAGCGGAGGA
rnacentral:rRNA from 1 species